UCUGAAGUGCUGCGUCAUGUGGUCCAGCCAAUGGGAGUCAACCGAGCUAACAAGCCCCGCCUCCCUGCGCACCUGCAGUGGAACCCUCAAAGAAAAGAACUUUGGCGAUCCCGCCAGAACUAUUGAAUGAUUGUACAGCGCGAACACCUGCACACCUACACAAACAGGGUCAAAUAUUUAGGCUGAGGGUCGGGGGCCCCUGAUGCACAGAACAGGGACUGGAGUGCAAGGAGGAAAGAUCUUCUGGUUCCCAGUGACCAAGGAAAUAUGGACCUUCACCUGGUUGGGGCAAAAACCCCACAAACAGAUCACCCUGAUCAGCCAAAUCCUGCAUCUUCAUCCCCCAGAAUGACCAGGACCAACAGAAGAAGUGAAAUCAGUAUCAUCAGUAACAUCACUCUUCAUAUCAAACGUUCCAUUCAAAGUCUACAAUCAAAGCUGACAAUGAAAAAAGUCCAGGAAGUGGUAUGUAUACGCCACUCCUGAGUGUGUCUCCACUUGUGCUCUUCUGAGGGUGGAGAAAAUCUUCCCUGGAGCUUCAUCUGACCCUCGAGGCUUCUGCAAUUUACAGCCCAUGUCUGCACAUGCAGAGAAAAACAAAGCAAAAGAGAAAAUGAGACCGAUGAAUAUAGAUAAUUUGUCUAUAAUAUUAAUGUAUUCAUGACUGCAUUAUCGAUUCAGCUGAUUGCCUUGGCAGUAGUCCAUAAUUGUAAUGCUUAUUAAGUCAGAUUGAGGUUGAAAUUGGAAUUGAGCAUGUGCGAAACUGGGGAGAGGGCAUUUCGGCAUAUCUUUAAACACAACUGUAAACAUUCAGAUACA